CAUUCAUUUAUUUAUACAUAUAUACAUACAUUCAUUGUAAAGGUGCCUAACAGCAACUGUCUUUCAAAAGUAAAACAGAUUUAAAUUCAUUUCAACAUUAAAAAACCAAAGAGCCUUAUUUAUGUUUCCUUUGGAGACCAGAGAGCGUGCUGACACUAGAAAUGUGUUGACUGUUUUCUCUCAGCUGAGCACCACCGGGCUCUUCAGCAGAGGGAAAGCAGAAGCUGCAGGAAGCCCUUACUUGUCAUGCUUCCUUUGUUCCAUAAUUAAAUAGGCACGACCCCAUUCAAAGACUCCAUUACAUCUUACAGGUCUAAAUGCUGUCAUUGGUAUCCCACUGUGGGGAGCCGAGGAAAGCUUGAAUGAAUGUGUAAAAAAUGAAGUUCUGGCCGGGCAUGGUGGCGCAUGCCUUUAAUCCUAGCACUUGGGAGGAAGAGGCAGAGGCAGGUGGAUUUCUGAGUUCGAGGCCAGCCUGGUCUACAAAGUGAGUUCCAGGACAGCCAGGGCUACACAGAGAAACCCUGUCUCGAAAAAGAAAGAAAGAAACAAACAACAACAACAACAACAACAAAAAAAAAGAAUGAAGUUCUGGGGGCUGGAGAGAUGGCUCAACGGUUAAGAGCACUGACUGCUCUUCCAGAGGUCCUGAGUUCAAAUCCCAGAAACCAUAUGGUGACUCACAACCAUCCAUAAUGAGAUUUGACCCCCUCUUAUGUAUCUGAAGACAGCUACAGUACUCAUGUACAUAAACUAAAUAAAUCUAAAAAAAAAAUGAAGUUCUAAGUGAAUGUGUGUAGUUGACAUGGGUGCAUCCAUGUCAAGGGCUGAAGGCCUAGGACCCAUGGGAGUGGCCGUGCCUUCCCUGUAUGGGUCAGGCUUGGAACUGGUAAACGCUAAACCCUUCUUGGGGUCCAAGGAAGAGUGUUUUCAAAUAAUUGAUGAGGACAUACAAAAGCUAGCAAUUGAAGCUUCUCCUCCCAGAUGACUGCAACUGGAGACUGCUCCACCUACACCUGCUGUGCACAACAGUGUGCUGAGAUUUUAAGCUGUUGCAUAGUAGAUACACUCCACCAGAGCUGGCAUAACCUACUUGGUGCCAGUUUUUCUGGACAUUGUAUCUGCAUAUCUGUCUUUUCUUUUUUCCCUAGGCACCACAGUCAGGUUUUAAAGACCGAUGGCUACAGUAAGCAACACAUACCCACUCUAUUCAGAUUUGAAAAUAUAUAGUUACUUAUUUAAGGUGGGUCUCUCUAUGUAGUCUUCACUGGCCCGAAACUUGAUAUGUAGACCAAGCUGACCUCCAACUCAGAUUCAUGUGCCUCUGCCUCUGGAGUGUUGGGAUCCAAGGUGUGCGCCACCUCAUUUGGUCAAAGAUUGUACAUAUUUUAAGUGUCUGCCUGACAUUUUAGGAGUCUGUAGUUGGCAACAUCAGGCAAACACCUUAACUACUGGAUCCCUUAUCCCGUGGCCUGAUUCUUUGUCUUGGUUCUGUUAGCAUCUCAUCCUCCUCUCACUUUUACUUCACUGUGGUUUCCUUUUAUUCAAGAAUAUACUGCAUUUGCUCAUCCUAAACCUCUUACGUAAUGCACUACCAACAUCUGUACCCCAACCCCAAACUAACAUCUUGGAAAUAAAAGAAAGAUCCGAGUUGGAAUACACAGUCACCUGACAGAAACCUUUUAAAAUUCUCAUGCCUUGAAAUUACACAGAUGGCAACACAUUCAAAACAUGUGUCAAGGCAAGUCUCUGCAACCCUCCCUGACUGUCAGGAUAGGAUUGCAGUGGGUAAGCCACUGCAAUCACCCAGCAGACAGCUGUCAGAAAUAUCUUUCUGGUAUGCAAACUAGAAGCAUCAUACUCUGCUUUUAAUGCCAUCUCAGCUCUUGCUAUUUCUUUCUUUCUUUUUUUUUUUUUUUUUUUGGUCAUAACAACCAGCUCUGAGGUUGUUGUUGUUUUUUAAUUUUAGCUCUUGUGAUUUGAUCCGAACAACCCCCACAAAGCUCAUGUGUUAAAAUGCUAGGCGGCCAGCUGGAGGGGCCAUUUAAUGUCCAAAUUGAGUUACUUUCUUCUAUGUACCUGUUUCAUUUUCAGGAACGGAUGGAAUCUUCUCCUCAACAUCAUUUUUGAGAUUAAACCCCGACUAGUGCUUGGAUAUAGUGAUGUAUAAUGCUUAUGCUUUUCCAGUCAUUAUAUAAAUUUCCCAAUAAAAUAGAGAAUCACCCAUUUUAUUGCGCCGUCUUAUUUUUCGCUCAGUAUUAGGCCACAUAUUCAGCAGCUUUUCUCAUUCCACACCUGCCCUCAGAUGACACUUAACCCAGUCGCAAUCUGUAUCACUAUCACUUUCCCCUCUUUAAAGAUGCCAGUUCUGCCGCCGCCGCCCCUUCCGCCAAUCCGUCCGGGUUUCGAAUUACCCCGGGAAAUAAUGAUCAGAGACAGCCAGGCUUAAGCAUUCGGAGGCCACACUUGAAUUAAUUAGAUUCGGUGACUGGGAAGAAGGAACCGGAAGGCGGUGCCUGCACAGGGAGUGCCCGCUGAGAGAAAGCCAAACCCAGCCCUGCCUUGCCAGGAGCUCGUCAACAACCCUUGCCAGAAAACCUUUGAAUCGGAAGCGCAGAGACCGGAAGUACAGCCCUCCUGGGUUAUGAACAGCCAAUCAGAAGUGAGAUCCUUAGUAUACAGGGCGGAAAAGAAGUGGUCCAGUUCCGGCCGCGGCCGCCGCCGCCGCCGCCGCCAUCUGUCACCUCACCUCCGGCACCGGCAGCGGGUUGCCCGUGCCCCGCCCGUGUCCUCGGCGGAGCCCUUUCUUCCUCUUGUCACCUCUCGACUCUGUUCUCGUCUCUGCCUUCUUCCCGGAAUGGAUCUGGUCGGAGUGUCUUCGCCUGAGCCAGGGCCCGCAGCAGCUUGGGGACCCAGUAAGUGCCCAUGGGCUACCCCUCAAAACACAGUAUCCUGUUCACUGACCGAGGUGAUGAGUGAGGAGCUGGCUAAAGAGCUGCAGUUGGAAGAAGAAGCGGCUGCUUUCCCUGAAGUUGUUGUUGCUGAAGGACCAUUCAUUUCUGGAGAAAACAUUGACACUUCCAGUGACCUAAUGCUGGCUCAGAUGCUACAGAUGGAAUUUGACAGAGAAUAUGAUGCACAGCUUAGGCGUGAGGAAAAGAAGUUCAAUGGUGAUAGCAAAGUUUCCAUUUCGUUUGAAAACUAUCGCAAAGUUCAUCCUUUUGAAGACAGUGACAGCUCUGAAGACGAGGUUGACUGGCAGGACACUCGAGACGAUCCCUACAGACCAGCAAAGCCAAUUCCUACUCCCAAAAAGGGUUUUAUUGGAAAAGGAAAAGACAUCACCACCAAGCAUGAUGAAGUAGUAUGUGGAAGGAAGAACACAGCAAGAAUGGAAAAUUUUGCCCCUGGCUUUCAGGUAGGGGAUGGAAUUGGAAUGGAUUUGAAACUAUCCAACCACGUUUUUAAUGCCUUAAAACAACACGCCUACUCAGAAGAGCGUCGGAGUGCCCGUCUACACGAGAAGAAGGAACAUUCUACCGCUGAAAAAGCAGUUGAUCCUAAGACACGCUUACUUAUGUAUAAAAUGGUCAACUCUGGAAUGUUGGAGACAAUCACUGGCUGUAUUAGUACAGGAAAGGAAUCUGUUGUCUUUCAUGCAUAUGGAGGGAGGUAAAUGAAAAACCACAACCACAACAGUGCCACGGUGUGAAAGCACCUUUCUCCUCAGGACUGACGGAUUUACGUAGAAUCUAACAGUGCUGCAGAGCAAGUAGGCAUUUAGACAUCACUACUGUAUAAAGCCUGGAGGAUGAAAAGGAAGAUGGUAAAGCUAUACCAACAGAAUGUGCCAUCAAGGUAUUUAAAACAACCCUUAAUGAGUUUAAGAAUCGUGACAAGUACAUUAAAGAUGAUUUCAGGUUUAAAGAUCGCUUCAGUAAACUAAAUCCACGUAAGAUCAUCCGCAUGUGGGCAGAGAAAGAAAUGCACAAUCUUACAAGAAUGCAGAAGGCUGGAAUUCCUUGUCCAACAGUUGUACUGCUUAAGAAGCACAUUUUAGUUAUGUCUUUCAUUGGCCAUGAUCAAGUUCCAGCCCCUAAAUUAAAAGAAGUAAAGCUUAGUAAUGAAGAAAUGAAAGAUGCCUACUAUCAGACUCUUCAUUUGAUGCAGCAAUUAUAUAACGAAUGUACCCUUGUGCAUGCUGACCUCAGCGAGUAUAACAUGUUGUGGCAUGCUGGGAAGGUCUGGUUGAUUGACGUCAGUCAGUCGGUAGAGCCAACCCAUCCUCAUGGCCUGGAGUUCUUAUUCCGUGACUGUAGGAAUGUUUCACAGUUCUUCCAGAAAGGAGGAGUAACGGAAGCCCUCAAUGAACGGGAGCUGUUCAAUGCUGUUUCUGGCCUGAACAUCUCGGCAGACAAUGAAGCUGAUUUCUUAGCUGAGAUAGAAGCUUUGGAGAAGAUGAAUGAAGAUCACAUUCAGAAGAACGGGAGGAAAGCAGCCUCGUUUCUGAAAGAUGAUGGAAGCCCACCUGUGCUGUCUGCCGACUAGUACAGCGGUGACGGACGGCAGCUGCCAUAGCCAGCGAGUGGAGGUGACCUGACAUACCAAAGCAGGAGUGGACAGUGCUGCUUCUGGGCUUCUCACUUGUGACCCACGUGCCAGAUGUGUGCAAUUUUUAACUCGGCAUUGAAAGAAUAAAAUGUCACUACCUCUCAUCUUACAAAAAGGAUAAUAUAAUUCUUUAACAGGUAUAGAUGUGUAGCCACAGGAGUCUGGAUUUUAUACAACUCAUGAUCUGAAGUGUCUAGAUGAGGAUUUUCACAUAGGCAGUGUUUCCAAAUGUGGGAGGUGGGGACUGAGGUGUUUGCAGGGGAGGCUCGAUGGCUGCGCUCUGCUCCAUUCCGCUCGCCUCCUGCUUUCCCUUGCGUCUUUGGGUGGAUGUUGCUGUUUUAAAUUAGCCCUUCCUAGCUGUUUGACCGUGAGCGUGGAGACCCCAGUGGGUACUAGAAAUGGGCACUUGGCCUCAGUGGAUGGUGGAAAUGGACAUAAGCAUUUUAUUGGUACACCGUAGAUGUGUGGAAUUCUACAUUUCCGUCUCAUAGCCAGGAGAGGUGACAGGUUUCUGAAAGAUAAAUAUAAAAGGAUUUCUUAACUACAUUUUAAAACUUAACUUUCAGGUUUUCUUCAUUAGGUUAAAUGGUUGGUUAUUUACAUUUAUAAUGAGAAUACAAAGUAUCUGGAAGGGCAGAAGGUAAGAAUGGGAUCUGCUACAUUUUAAGAAGGCAGUGAAACAUUUCCGUUUACGUUUCCCCAAAUUGUUCACAUAUUGAUUGCUAAUCAUUUGGAGAGAACUAGAACAAAGUAAGUGGAGCUGUUCAGUAAGUGGAAGACACAGCCUGAACAGCUCAAGUACUGAAUUGACCGGCUAACUCGGCUGUGGGCCUCUGCCAGCGUCACACUGGCUGGACUCGGCCUGAGAAGGUGAGCCUUGUUCUGAAGACCAGUGCUUGCUUGCUCUCACCUCAUUACCCCAGUUCCGGGAGUUACAUUGGAUCCACUAACCAGCUUCACUUUCUGUCUGGUUAUAAAGAGUAAAUGUAAUUUAUAGUUGAAAAAUUUUAACAUUAUUUUAAAUUGCCAAAUAUGUUCUUUCUCGACUAUUUAUUUUUGUUUCUGUUCUACUGCUUUAAUUGCAUUUCAGAGGAGUGAAUUUAGGUGGCUCAUCCCACUUAUGUUUGCUGCUCCACACAAAGAUUUAAAUGAUGAGAAAUUAUUGGCUGGACACAAAUUGCAGAAAAGUCAUUAGAAACAAUCAUUUAAAACUUUGUUUGCUUUCUUCACAUAUUCUUUCUCAAACCAUUGCUUGGAGUGUGCUAUGAACUUGCCUUUCAAGAAAUUAAAAAUGAAGAGAUCAUUUUAGAAUUG